rnacentral:rRNA from 1 species
ACUCCUACGGGAGGCAGCAGUGGGGAAUAUUGCACAAUGGGCGCAAGCCUGAUGCAGCCAUGCCGCGUGUAUGAAGAAGGCCUUCGGGUUGUAAAGUACUUUCAGCAGUGAGGAAGGUGGGUGUGUUAAUAGCGCAUACUUCAUUGACUGUAGCUGCAGAAGAAGCACCGGCUAACUCCGUGCCAGCAGCCGCGGUAAUACGGAGGGUGCGAGCGUUAAUCGGAAUUACUGGGCGUAAAGCGCAUGCAGGUGGUUUGUUAAGUCAGAUGUGAAAGCCCGGGGCUCAACCUCGGAAUUGCAUUGAACUUGGACAA